rnacentral:misc_RNA from 1 species
UUGGUUUUUAUUUGUUUAGAUAAACUCAGACGACACGUUUUGACAAGAGUUUUAAUAGGGCCAUCGACAGGCGCGGGCCCGGGGCGGUGAAACGCCCCCGGCGGCCACCCGUUUCCGGGCGGCGGGCCUGCCGAAGCAACAAAAUAGGUCAAGUAAGCAAAGGGUUGGAGGUCGGGCGCGACGAGGCACCCUAACUCGGUAAUGAUCCUUCCGCAGGUUCACCUACGGAAA